rnacentral:rRNA from 1 species
UACGGAGGGUGCAAGCGUCAUCCGGAAUUAUUGGGCGUAAAGCGUCCGCAGGCGGCUAAUUAAGUUAAAUGUUAAAUCUUGAAGCCCAACUUCAAGGCCGUAUUUAAAACUGAUUGGCUAGAGUAUUUCAGAGGUAUGCGGAAUUCUGUGUGUAGGGGUAAAAUCCGUAGAUACACAGAAGAACACCAAAAGCGAAGGCAGCAUACUGGGAAAUUACUGACGCUCAUGGACGAAAGCGUAGGUAGCGAACGGG